UUGAGAGAAAUUGAGCGCAUGGAACCUUUCUGGGAUCUUUUAUUUUCAGCUCAUGAAACAUGGGACCAACACUUUACAUGUUGCAUUUAUAUUUUUUCUCAGUGUAUGUCCCCGUCAGUCAAACAAUAGCUGGGAAAAAGACACAGUCAGGACCACAGAGUCUACUGUCACUGAACCACAGAGGACCUGAGCCCGAGGACCAUGCCUCAGGACUACCUGGCAUGAUGACUCCUUCUGUCCCCAGUCCACCUGGCCGUGCUGCUGCUCCAGUUUCAACUGUUCUGCCUGCGGCUAUGGAACCCUGACAUGUUCCCCGGACGUGCUACCUGUUUUGACCUCUUCUCCCUGUUUCCCUCUCUCCCUCUCUCUCUUUCUCUCAAUUCAAUUCAAUUCAAGGGCUUUAUUGGCAUGGGAAACAUGUGUUAACAUUGCCAAAGCAAGUGAGGUAAGGUGAGGUGAGGUCUCUCUCUCUCUCUCCGAGGAGACUAUCACCAUGGCGAUUAUGACCAUUCUUCUGCUUCUCAGCGCUGACUUGGCUUUGGGCAAUGCAAGUAAGAGACACACACACACACACCCUUUACAUUAUUAAUUCUGUAUUUUUUAUGUUGUAGCAAAAUUGUGUGUGUAUAUUUGACACCGUUCCACCUAUUCCACUCCAGUCAUUACAACAAGCCCGUCCUCCCCAAUUAAGGUGCCACCAACCUCCUGUGGUGUGUGUGUGUGUGUGUGUGUGUGUGUGUGUGUGUGUGUGUGUGUGUGUGUGUGUGUGUGUGUGUGUGUGUGUCGUAUUUAAAAUAACACCACUGUUGAUGUUUCAGAGGCCAAUGAUGUGGAUCAACUCCUUGCUUUUGGUAUGUUUUAUACGGCCCCCUGCAGUAAAACAUCAGAAUUUAUGUCUCCACUCAAAUAGCUAAUAUUCCACCAUCAUCAUUGACUUGUCUCUGUUGUCUAUAUUUUUGUAGAGGACAAAGGAGAGGAGGCAAACUGUGUUGAACAAAAACCAUCUCCCAUUUUAAACCCCUGGUGGUAACAGAUGCAACAUAAUAUGGGGUGUGUAUCACUUUGACUUACAGAGGCUAAGGGGGUGGCGGAGCUGCAUGAGUUGCAGCAGGUGCAGGAGGAGGAGCAGGAGGUGCAGGAGGAGGAGCAGCAGGUGCAGGAGGAGGAGCAGGAGGUGCAGGAGGAGGAGCAGCAGGUGCAGGAGGAGGAGCAGCAGGUGAAGGAGGAGGUGCAGGAGGAGGAGCAGGAGGUGCAGGAGGAGGAGCAGGAGGUGCAGGAGGAGGAGCAGCAGGUGCAGGAGGAGGAGCAGCAGGUGCAGGAGGAGGUGCAGGAGGAGGAGCAGGAGGUGCAAGAAGAGGAGCAGGAGGUGCAAGAGGAGGUGUUGAGAGAGAGCAGGAGCUUGUGUCCCUCAGGCUGGACCAAAUACGGAUCCCGCUGUUUGAUGUUUGUUCAUGGCCCCAGCACAUGGAUUGAGGCAGAGCGGUACUGUGUGCACUGCGGAGCGAACCUGGCGUCAGUUCACAACUCCCAGGAGUAUCAUUUUCUGCAGGAGCUGGUUAGGAGCCAUACCAAUGGGUUCCCAGGCACCUGGAUCGGAGGCUCUGAUGCCGUCUAUGUAAACUCUUCUUUAAUAUCUUUACAUUUUGCUUAAUGUUUUAUUUAUGCUGAACAAAAAUAUAAAUGCAACAAUUUCCAAGAUUUUACUGUUACUGUUCAUAUAAUGAAAUCAGUCAAUUGAAAUAAAUUAUUUAGGCCCUAAUCUGUUGGUCACAGAUACUUUAAAAAAAAGUGGGACGUGGAUCAGAAAACCAGCCAGUAUCUGGUGUGACCACCAUUUGCCUCCUGCAGCGCGACACAUCUCCUUCAUAUGGAGUUGACCAGGCUGUUGAUUGUGGCCUGUGGAAUGUUGUCCCACUCUUCUUCAAUGGCUGUGCGUACGCGUCGAUCCAGUACAUGCCAAACAUGCUCAAUGGUAUGCAGGCCAUUUUCAGCCUUCCAGGAUUUGUGAACAGAUCCUUGCGACAUGGGGCUGUGCAUUAUUAUGCUGAAACAUGAGGUGAUGGCGACAGAAGAAUGCCACUACAAUGGGCCUCAGGAUCUCAUCAUUGGUAAAAUACAAUUCUGUUUGUUGUCCGUAGUUUAUUGCCUGCCCACACAAUAAUCACACCGCCACCAUGGGGCGGCUACAAUAUGCUGCCCAAACAUUUUAAAAUGUUACCAAGGUGACAUCGUCCACUGAACUCCCUUUCACCCUCAAAAGAGUCAGAGUUAAUCUUACCAAAAACUAUAAACCUGUAGCUUAUUUUCAGUUUUUUUGUAAAAUAUUUAUGAAAUGUACACAAAACGCAUUAGCUAGCUAGUGUCUUGUGAACUAAACUCAAAUCAAUCCAUAUGAAACGAAAGGCAGAGAUGCUAACAACACCAGUUCACACACUCAAUGCUGAAUACGCUCUACAGCUAGCUAGCUAGUUAGCUAGUGUAGUGAAGUUCUAGCUAUUGGACUAAUUACUUCUCAUGAUGUCUGUUCUGCCAUGGUCAGUGUGCCGAGUGCUACAAAACAGCUGACUGCUCUCUGCUGCGUUAUCGCGUUGGCCAAAUGUGACAAAGUAGCAAGGCACAGUGCCAGCGGUCAGAGUCAGAUACAUGUUGAUUUUUUAGAACAGUCCAUGGGUUGCAACCAAAAUUAUUUUCCAAUCGUUUAGUUCUGAACAGAACCAUACUUUUUUCCAUUCUGUUCCACUGUUUCGACCAGCAAAAUAAAGUUCACAAUCAGUUUGAACCUAAAACAUUUAUAGGUUUACAGCUCACCUUUUGUUCCUUUUUAAACCUCCAAAAUAUACAAUAUAAAACAAUGUCCAUACAAACUAUCCAAAACCAAAUGUUAAUUAAACUAAAUCAGCCUGCUUUUCUGUUUUAAUCAGGUUAGUAAUUAGUUCACACAGGCUUAGAAGAAUCCUGUGAUGGCGGGACAUUUCCUGGCAACAGUAGUCCUUGCAGUGCUUCUGUCAUUAAGUCUUGGAGUCCCAGACACUUCUCAGCUGCAGAUAUAAUGAUGCCCAGCUUCUUGGACUUCAUGGACACUUGAGAAGUACAAUUAUUAACUGUGGAUAUAAAUGCUACAAAAUCCACCUUCACAAUAAGUGUAUCCAGAUUGAUUGAUGUUUAACUUUUGCAACUGUUUGUGGUGCAUCCACCACCAUGUCUUCUUCAGAACUGUUGCCUCUCACCCCUUUAACUCUCUUCACUGCCUCCACAUAGGAGAUUUGCUGUACAGUGUUGGGGAAUAAUCAGAAUUGGUUGGUAACAUAGGUAAGAUGUUUUAUAUUCAUCAUAUGUUUGUAAGUUACUUCUCAUCAGAAUGUUAUUUUUGUAUAAUACUGUGGCGGGGUUGCAGUUAUCUGUUCUAUGUCAAGACUAAGUUGCAUGGGCCGCAGAGAGGGGAGAGGUCAAGGUGUCAUCAUGUGUAAACAUAUCUUUUGCUCCACUGUGUCUGUGUGCCAGUCACUCCCUAUUUUUCCCAUCGGGGAGAGGAGGAUGGCAGUGUCUGGAAUCAUUCUAUGCUCUCCGUGAGCUUGUCCAGGAUUGGUUGUAUUUAGAAUUGGUUGUAUCUAAAUGGCAAUUUGAUAUAUGCCUGUUGAUAUGGAGGGUUGGUUUAUGGUUCUGGGUUUGAGUAAGGAGACAAAGCUGAACGAUUUAUUAUGUCUAUGCUGUCUGACUAUGUGUGUUCUUUGCUAUUAAAGGAUCUCAGUUGCAAUGUAGUGGGGCUCUCAGAGAAUUCAUGGAUAGACACUGAAUUGAUUUCUCUGAGAGUCACAGGGUUGUGAUAGAGCUCAUAUAAGUAAAGAUGGACUUUGAUAACUAACUCUGACUUGUGUGUGGUUUGCGCUCAUGAUUUGGUAAAUAGAGGAAAUUUCCACGACAACAGACCUGAUACUACACAUCAACCUCUUUCAACCUGAUGAGGCACUCAGGGAAUUUGGAAAUAUGAUCCCCAACACAGUUACAACAUUUUACAUAUUCAAUGACAUAUUCCUUCUGUCUGCAAACACUUAACACGGCCAAACUUUUUAUCCCAACUUUACAUAGGGUGGUAAAUACUCAUCAAACAUCAAUAAUACAGAUAACUUAGAUCAUUUCUUCCAUUGUCCAUACGGAUCAAGCGACGUGCAUUAACUACUCCUGGAAUUUCUGGGCUAAGAUAUUGAUUAUCAAUGUCCGAUAGGACGCCAGAUACUGGUCUGAUACUCCUUCCAUUUCAAUAUUAUCGCUUGCACAGUGCUCCUUGGGAUGUUUAAAGCUUGUGAAAUCUUUUUGUAUAUUAGUCAUUUAGGUCAACAUUGGAUCAUUCAGAGAUCCUCACUGAUCUUCUGGAGAGAGUUUGCUGCACUGAAAGUAAAGGGGCUGAAUAAUUUUGCACGCCCAAUUUUUCAGUUUUUGAUUUGUUAAAAAAGUUUGAAAUAUCCAAUAAAUGUCGUUCCACUUCA